UACGUAGGGUGCAAGCGUUGUCCGGAAUUAUUGGGCGUAAAGAGCUCGUAGGCGGUCUGUCGCGUCGGCUGUGAAAACCUGCGGCUCAACUGCAGGCUGGCGGUCGAUACGGGCAGGCUGGAGUUCGGUAGGGGAGACUGGAAUUCCUGGUGUAGCGGUGAAAUGCGCAGAUAUCAGGAGGAACACCAAUUGCGAAGGCAGCUCGCUGGGACGUUACUGACGCUGAGACGCGAAAGCGUGGGGAGCAAACAGG
rnacentral:rRNA from 1 species